rnacentral:lncRNA from 1 species
UUUCACGUGUCAUUUUAUAAAAUUCAAGUUUCCAGUAUUCAGAUUUCAUGUCACAACAUUUAUGUUUCUAGUAUUCAGAUCUCAUAUUAGAAUAUUCAAGUCAGUUCAGUACUCAAAUACUCAUUUCAGUCCAGUACUCAGAUAUUCAUGCCACUUAGUACCCAGAUAUUAAUGUCAAUUCAGUGAUCACAUGUUCACGUCAUUUUAAUACUUGAUUAUUCAUUCCAUUUCAGUAUUCAUAUAUCCACGUUAGUUCAGAAUUCACGUAUCCAUAACAGACAAAUGUUCAUGUAUAUAUAUCACGUUAUGCGUAUUAUUAUGCCCUACGAAGCUAGUGUUAUGCUCUGUUAGCUGGUAGGUAUUGGGAGAAAUGUCGAAG